GACGAACGCUGGCGGCGUGCUUAACACAUGCAAGUCGAACGGAAAGGCCCUGCUUGCAGGGUACUCGAGUGGCGAACGGGUGAGUAACACGUGGGUGAUCUGCCCUGCACUUCGGGAUAAGCCUGGGAAACUGGGUCUAAUACCGGAUAGGAGCCAUUUUUAGUGUGAUGGUUGGAAAGUUUUUUCGGUGUAGGAUGAGCUCGCGGCCUAUCAGCUUGUUGGUGGGGUAAUGGCCUACCAAGGCGGCGACGGGUAGCCGGCCUGAGAGGGUGGACGGCCACACUGGGACUGAGGUACGGCACAGACUCCUACGGGAGGCAGAAGUGGGGAAUACUGCACAAUGGGCGCAAGCCUGAUGCAGCGGCGCCGCGUGGGGGAUGACGGCCUUCGGGUUGUAAACUCCUUUCGCUAGGGACGAAGCUUUUUGUGACGGUACCUAGAUAAGAAGCACCGGCUAACUACGUG
rnacentral:rRNA from 1 species